rnacentral:miRNA from 1 species
UAUUUAGAAUGGCGCUGAUCUG